AGAGAACUGUUGUUAAGGAACUCGGCAAAAUGACCCCGUAACUUAGGGAUAAGGGGUGCCACCAUCAGGUGGCCGCAGAGAAUAGGCCCAAGCGACUGUUUACCAAAAACAUAGGUUUCUGCUAAGUCGCAAGACGAUGUAUAGGAGCUGACGCCUGCCCGGUGCUGGAAGGUUAAGGGGAUCUGUUAGAGCAAUCGAAGCAGUGAACUUAAGCCCCAGUAAACGGCGGCCGUAACUAUAACGGUCCUAAGGUAGCGAAAUUCCUUGUCGGGUAAGUUCCGACCCGCACGAAAGGCGUAACGAUUUGGGCACUGUCUCAACAACAGACUCGGUGAAAUUGUAAUUCCGGUGAAGAUGCCGGAUACCUGCGACAGGACGGAAAGACCCCAUGGAGCUUUACUGUAGCUUGACAUUGGGUCUUGGUACUACAUGUACAGGAUAGGGUGGGAGGCUUUGAAACCAGGACGCCAGUUUUGGCGGAGCCAUCCUUGGGAUACCACCCUUGUAGUACUGGGACUCUAACCAUAGGCCAUGAAUCUGGUCUUGGGACACUGUCAGGUGGGCAGUUUGACUGGGGCGGUCGCCUCCCAAAAGGUAACGGAGGCGCUCAAAGGUUCUCUCAGUACGGUCGGAAAUCGUACGUAGAGUGUAAAGGCAAAAGAGAGCUUGAUUGCAAGACAUACAGGUCGAGCAAGGAUGAAAAUCGGACUUAGUGAUCCGGUGGUUCUGCGUGGAAGGGCCAUCGCUCAACGGAUAAAAGCUACCCUGGGGAUAACAGGCUUAUCUCCCCCAAGAGUCCACAUCGACGGGGAGGUUUGGCACCUCGAUGUCGGCUCAUCACAUCCUGGGGCUGUAGUAGGUCCCAAGGGUUGGGCUGUUCGCCCAUUAAAGUGGUACGCGAGCUGGGUUCAGAACGUCGUGAGACAGUUCGGUCCCUAUCCGUCGCAGGCGUAGGAAAUUUGAGAAGACCUGUCCUUAGUACGAGAGGACCGGGAUGGACGUACCUCUGGUGUACCAGUUGUUCUGCCAAGGGCAUGGCUGGGUAGCUAUGUACGGAAUGGAUAAGCGCUGAAAGCAUCUAAGCGCGAAGCCAACUUCAAGAUAAGAUUUCCCACCGCAAGGGUAAGACCCCAGAAAGACUAUCUGGUUGAUAGGUCGAAGGUGUAAGUGCAGCAAUGUAUUUAGCUUAUCGAUACUAAUAGGUCGAGGACUUGACCAAU
rnacentral:rRNA from 1 species